UACGGAGGGAGCAAGCGUUGUCCGGAAUCAUUGGGCGUAAAGCGCGCGUAGGCGGCCUCAUAAGUCCGUUGUGAAAGUCAAAGGCUCAACCUUUGAAAGCCGAUGGAUACUGUGAGGCUAGAGUCCGGAAGAGGCGAGUGGAAUUCCUGGUGUAGCGGUGGAAUGCGCAGAUAUCAGGAGGAACACCGAUGGCGAAGGCAGGUCACUGGGCCACUACUGACGCUGAGGAGCGAAAGCAUGGGGAGCGAACAGG
rnacentral:rRNA from 1 species